CAAGUCGAGCGGUAACAGGUGUAGCAAUACAUGCUGACGAGCGGCAGACGGGUGAGGAACACGUACGCAACCUCCCUCAAACCGGGGCACAACCUUGAGAAAUCAGGGCUAAUUCCCCAUAACAUUGCGAAAGGGCAUCCGAUUGCAAUUAAAGAUUCAUCAGUUUGAGAUGGGCGUGCGUUCGAUUAGCUAGUUGGUAAGGUAACGGCUUACCAAGGCAACGAUCGAUAGCUGGUGUGAGAGCACGACCAGCCACACGGGCACUGAGAUACGGGCCCGACUCCUACGGGAGGCAGCAGUAAGGAAUAUUGGUCAAUGGGCGAAAGCCUGAACCAGCCAUGCCGCGUGAGGGAUGAAGGUUCUCUGAAUUGUAAACCUCUUUUAUUUGGGAAUAAAUGCCUGAUUUCUAUCGGGUUUGAAGGUACCAGAUGAAUAAGCACCGGCUAACUCCGUGCCAGCAGCCGCGGUAAUACGGAGGGUGCAAGCGUUAUCCGGAUUUACUGGGUUUAAAGGGUGCGUAGGUGGAUUGGGAAGUCAGUGGUGAAAUACUACAGCGCAACUGUGGAACUGCCAUUGAUACUAUCAAUCUUGAAUACAGUGGAGGCGGGCGGAAUGUGUCAUGUAGCGGUGAAAUGCUUAGAUAUGACACAGAACACCAAUUGCGAAGGCAGCUUGCUACACUGUCAUUGACACUGAGGCACGAAAGCGUGGGGAUCAAACAGGAUUAGAUACCCUGGUAGUCCACGCCCUAAACGAUGUUCACUCGAUCUCGGCGAUACACAGUCGGGGUCUAUGCAAA
rnacentral:rRNA from 1 species